UACGUAGGGGGCAAGCGUUGUCCGGAUUUAUUGGGCGUAAAGAGCGUGUAGGCGGCCAUUCAGGUCAGCUGUGAAAACUCGAGGCUCAACCUCGAGACGUCGGUUGAAACCGUUUGGCUAGAGUCCGGAAGAGGAGAGUGGAAUUCCCGGUGUAGCGGUGAAAUGCGCAGAUAUCGGGGAAGAACACCCCGUGGCGAAGGCGG
rnacentral:rRNA from 1 species